GAUGAACGCUCGCGGGAGGCUUAACACAUGCAAGCCGAGGGGUAUAGUUCUUUCGGGAACUAGAGACCGGCGCACGGGUGCGUAACGCGUAUGCAACUUGCCCUACUGAAAAGGAUAGCCCUUCGAAAGGAGGAUUAAUACUUUAUAACAGAUUUAAUGGCAUCAUUAGAUUUUGAAAGAUUUAUCGCCGUAGGAUAGGCAUGCGUAAGAUUAGUUAGUUGGUGAGGUAACGGCUCACCAAGACGCUGUUCUUUAGGGGGCCUGAGAGGGUGAACCCCCACACGGAUACUGAGACCCGGACCAGACUCCUACGGGAUGCAGCAGUGAGGAAUAUUGGACAAUGGGUGGAAGCCUGAUCCAGCCAUCCCGGGUGUAGGAAGACGGCCUUAGGAGUUGUAAACUACUUUUAUCUGAGGAAAAACCUACUUACGUGUAAGUAGCUGAAGGUACCAGAAGAAUAAGCACCGGCUAACUCCGUG
rnacentral:rRNA from 1 species